GAUGAACGCUGACAGCAUGCUUAACACAUGCAAGUCAACUGUGGUGGACGGGUGAGUAACGCGUACAGAACUUUCCUCACGGAUAGGGACCACAUUUGGAAACGCAUGCUAAUACCUGCUACUGUGAGAGGGCUUUGCGUCCCAUUAGCUAGUUGGAUUGGUAAUGGCUCACCAAGGCGAUGAUGGGUAGCCGGCCUGAGAGGAUGAUCGGCCACAAGGGGACGGAGACACGGCCCUUACGCCUACGUGAGGCAGCAGUGGGGAAUAUUGGACAAUGUACCAAAGUCUGAUUCAGCAAGUCUGUGUGCACGAUGAAGUUUUCGGAAUGUAAAGUGCUAUAAGUUGGGAAGCGGUACCAACAGAAGAAGUGACGGCUAAAUACGUGCCAGCAGCCGCGGUAAUAC
rnacentral:rRNA from 1 species